rnacentral:rRNA from 1 species
CCUACGGGUGGCAGCAGUGAGGAAUAUUGGUCAAUGGACGUGAGUCUGAACCAGCCAAGUAGCGUGAAGGAUGACUGCCCUAUGGGUUGUAAACUUCUUUUAUAAGGGAAUAAAACGUGGCACGUGUGGGAUUUUGUAUGUACCAUAUGAAUAAGGAUCGGCUAACUCCGUGCCAGCAGCCGCGGUAAUACGGAGGAUCCGAGCGUUAUCCGGAUUUAUUGGGUUUAAAGGGAGCGUAGGAGGCGUGUUAAGGCAGUGUUGAAAGUUUGCGGCUCAACCGUAAAAUUGCAGUUGAAACUGGCAGUCUUGAGUACAGUUGAGGCUGGCGUAAUUCGUGGUGUAGCGGU